rnacentral:rRNA from 1 species
GGUUAAGCGACUAAGCGUACACGGUGGAUGCCCUGGCAGUCAGAGGCGAUGAAGGACGUGCUAAUCUGCGAAAAGCGCCGGCGAGGUGAUAUGAACCUUUGACCCGGCGAUGUCCGAAUGGGGAAACCCAGUGCAAUCCGUUGCACUAUCGUUAACUGAAUACAUAGGUUAACGAGGCGAACCGGGGGAACUGAAACAUCUAAGUACCCCGAGGAAAAGAAAUCAACCGAGAUUCCCCCAGUAGCGGCGAGCGAACGGGGAGCAGCCCGGAGUCUGAAUCAGCUUGUGUGUUAGUGGAACGGUCUGGAAAGUCCGACGGUACAGGGUGAUAGUCCCGUACACGAAAGCACACAUGCUGUGAACUCGAAGAGUAGGGCGGGACACGUGGUAUCCUGUCUGAAUAUGGGGGGACCAUCCUCCAAGGCUAAAUACUCCUGACUGACCGAUAGUGAACCAGUACCGUGAGGGAAAGGCGAAAAGAACCCCGGCGAGGGGAGUGAAAAAGAACCUGAAACCGUGUACGUACAAGCAGUGGGAGCCUCUUUAUGGGGUGACUGCGUACCUUUUGUAUAAUGGGUCAGCGACUUAUAUUCUGUAGCAAGGUUAACCGUAUAGGGGAGCCGAAGGGAAACCGAGUCUUAACUGGGCGUUAAGUUGCAGGGUAUAGACCCGAAACCCGGUGAUCUAGCCAUGGGCAGGUUGAAGGUUGGGUAACACUAACUGGAGGACCGAACCGACUAAUGUUGAAAAAUUAGCGGAUGACCUGUGGCUGGGGGUGAAAGGCCAAUCAAACCGGGAGAUAGCUGGUUCUCCCCGAAAGCUAUUUAGGUAGCGCCUCGUGAACUCAUCUUCGGGGGUAGAGCACUGUUUCGGCUAGGGGGCCAUCCCGGCUUACCAACCCGAUGCAAACUACGAAUACCGAAGAAUGUUAUCACGGGAGACACACGGCGGGUGCUAACGUCCGUCGUGAAGAGGGAAACAACCCAGACCGCCAGCUAAGGUCCCAAAGUCAUGGUUAAGUGGGAAACGAUGUGGGAAGGCACAGACAGCCAGGAUGUUGGCUUAGAAGCAGCCAUCAUUUAAAGAAAGCGUAAUAGCUCACUGGUCGAGUCGGCCUGCGCGGAAGAUGUAACGGGGCUAAACCAUGCACCGAAGCUGCGGCAGCGACACUAUGUGUUGUUGGGUAGGGGAGCGUUCUGUAAGCCGUUGAAGGUGUCCUGUGAGGGGUGCUGGAGGUAUCAGAAGUGCGAAUGCUGACAUAAGUAACGAUAAAGCGGGUGAAAAGCCCGCUCGCCGGAAGACCAAGGGUUCCUGUCCAACGUUAAUCGGGGCAGGGUGAGUCGACCCCUAAGGCGAGGCCGAAAGGCGUAGUCGAUGGGAAACAGGUUAAUAUUCCUGUACUUGGUGUUACUGCGAAGGGGGGACGGAGAAGGCUAUGUCAGCCGGGCGACGGUUGUCCCGGUUUAAGCAUGUAGGCGGAGGUUCCAGGUAAAUCCGGUACCUUAUUAACGCUGAGGUGUGAUGACGAGGCACUACGGUGCUGAAGUGAUAAAUGCCCUGCUUCCAGGAAAAGCCUCUAAGCAUCAGGUAACACGAAAUCGUACCCCAAACCGACACAGGUGGUCAGGUAGAGAAUACCAAGGCGCUUGAGAGAACUCGGGUGAAGGAACUAGGCAAAAUGGUGCCGUAACUUCGGGAGAAGGCACGCUGAUGUGUAGGUGAAGUCCCUGCGGACGGAGCUGAAAUCAGUCGAAGAUACCAGCUGGCUGCAACUGUUUAUUAAAAACACAGCACUGUGCAAACACGAAAGUGGACGUAUACGGUGUGACGCCUGCCCGGUGCCGGAAGGUUAAUUGAUGGGGUUAGCGGCAACGCGAAGCUCUUGAUCGAAGCCCCGGUAAACGGCGGCCGUAACUAUAACGGUCCUAAGGUAGCGAAAUUCCUUGUCGGGUAAGUUCCGACCUGCACGAAUGGCGUAAUGAUGGCCAGGCUGUCUCCACCCGAGACUCAGUGAAAUUGAACUCGCUGUGAAGAUGCAGUGUACCCGCGGCAAGACGGAAAGACCCCGUGAACCUUUACUAUAGCUUGACACUGAACACUGGUCCUUGAUGUGUAGGAUAGGUGGGAGGCUUUGAAGCGUGGACGCCAGUCUGCGUGGAGCCAACCUUGAAAUACCACCCUUUAAUGGCUGGUGUUCUAACGUAGACCCGUAAUCCGGGUUGCGGACAGUGUCUGGUGGGUAGUUUGACUGGGGCGGUCUCCUCCCAAAGAGUAACGGAGGAGCACGAAGGUUGGCUAAUCCUGGUCGGACAUCAGGAGGUUAGUGCAAUGGCAUAAGCCAGCUUGACUGCGAGCGUGACGGCGCGAGCAGGUGCGAAAGCAGGUCAUAGUGAUCCGGUGGUUCUGAAUGGAAGGGCCAUCGCUCAACGGAUAAAAGGUACUCCGGGGAUAACAGGCUGAUACCGCCCAAGAGUUCAUAUCGACGGCGGUGUUUGGCACCUCGAUGUCGGCUCAUCACAUCCUGGGGCUGAAGUAGGUCCCAAGGGUAUGGCUGUUCGCCAUUUAAAGUGGUACGCGAGCUGGGUUUAGAACGUCGUGAGACAGUUCGGUCCCUAUCUGCCGUGGGCGCUGGAGAAUUGAGGGGGGCUGCUCCUAGUACGAGAGGACCGGAGUGGACGCAUCACUGGUGUUCGGGUUGUCAUGCCAAUGGCACUGCCCGGUAGCUAAAUGCGGAAGAGAUAAGUGCUGAAAGCAUCUAAGCACGAAACUUGCCCCGAGAUGAGUUCUCCCUGAGACUUUAAGUCUCCUGAAGGAACGUUGAAGACUACGACGUUGAUAGGUCGGGUGUGUAAGCGCAGCGAUGCGUUGAGCUAACCGAUACUAAUGAACCGUGAGGCUUAACCUU